CUGGAGUGAGAAGAUCCCAUGCUGUGACCCUCUAGAGGGAAGCACUUUCUGUUGUCUGAAAGAAACCAAAGCGCUUCCCUUUGGAGCGUUACGGUUUGAGAAACUCAAUGUUGAAGUUG